rnacentral:lncRNA from 1 species
GCUAAUCUGGGGAGGCUUAUUGCUCUCUGGUACCAACUGCAUGCAUGUCUGCAUACAAGUUCAAAUUCAUUAUAGAUUAUAUAUUAAACGAAGAGAAUCACGUGUAUGCAUGUGGAACAAAUUAAACGAAGAGAAGGAAACUAACAAAUUCGGAUCAUGCGCAUGCUAAUUAGGACGUCGACUCUGUGGAGACGUUUGGCAGACUUGACUAGAUUGGAUUGGCAAUACAGCCAGAUUGGAUUGGUAUAGGAUUUUGAUUUGCUAUUCUUAUCUAGUGUUUGGAGCAACUAGAUAACAACAUUACUGGAUAAGAAUAUUUAAACAAAAUCAAAUGAAUUAAAAGAAGAUAUCAAUUUAUAUUUCCAAUUAUUAUGAAAAUAAAUUGGAUGAAGUUUGCAGAUCUGUAAAUUGAUAAGAUACAUCUUUGAAGAGAAUAGUCCAUAUCAGCUUUUAAUUUCUAGCCAUAGAUUUAGCCGAAACGAGUCAAAUUUUGCUAUGUGAUUCCCUCUUCGGAUCAGAUCAUCCACAACGUGGUUGAGAUCCAGAUCGUCAGCGUCAACAUUCUGGAUCUUGCAGUUGCAAACCUCGCCGUUGCGGUGUCCUUGAGCAUGGCAGAGCCGCCGUCGCGAUCGACCAUAACUUGUUCGAGAGAGAGAGGCGGCGGCGGCGGCGCCAGAAUCAGAGGUUGAAGAGAGAGAGAGAGAGAGAGAGAGAGAGAGAGAGAGAGAGAGAGAGAGAGAGAGAGAGAGAGNNNN